AGGCUGAUGAAGUUGCAGGCAUUCAGUUUUCACUGGGAAUGUCCUCCAGACGGAUGUGUAAGAAGGCCAGGGUCAGGCUUCAGGAGCACCUAGGCAGGUUCACACUUGACACCUGUCACUCGUCACUCACCCGCCAGCCCACUGCCUGGUCAACGUAAGGCUGUCUCCUUGCGGAGACUGGCUCAGCACUGAAGUAAUGGAGCUGUCUUUCUGUCUGUCUGGCUUGUGGUUUA
rnacentral:lncRNA from 1 species